rnacentral:rRNA from 1 species
GACGAACGCUGGCGGCGUGCUUAACACAUGCAAGUCGAGCGGUAAGGCCCUUUCGGGGGUACGCGAGCGGCGAACGGGUGAGUAACACGUGGGUGACCUGCCUUUAGCUCUGGGAUAAGCCUGGGAAAACUGGGUCUAAUACCGGAUACGACUCCGCGGUGCAUGCUGUGGGGUGGAAAAGCCUUGUGCGGCUGGAGAUGGGCCCGCGGCCUAUCAGCUUGUUGGUGGGGUGAUGGCCUACCAAGGCGACGACGGGUAGCCGGCCUGAGAGGGCGACCGGCCACACUGGGACUGAGACACGGCCCAGACUCCUACGGGA